GGGGAAGCCAAAGAGCGUGGUCAUCUUGACGCUACCUGAAGCUAAGAAAGAGCCAUGAAUUCUGCGUGGCCAACACUGUGGUUCGUCGUUAUGGCAUCUGCGGUUAACCCCAACCGGUUUUGCGAGAAGACGGAGAACACUCGCGUAUCCGGCACUAUUGUCUUCAGCAACAUGAUGAAGAGCCUAAUGCAGUGCAGCGGCAUGUGUCUGCACUUUGAGGCUGAGUGCGAGGCGUUCACUAUCCAGCCGAAGACCAGCGGACUCCUCUGUGAGAUCAUCAAGGACACUACCGGGGCGGAAAAUGUUGCUGGCGUCCAUACCUACUGUCUCCCGCGUGUGUCAUUAUGUGUUUAAAUGAAUGGAUAGAGAUGGCUAUAGAGAGGAUAAUAAAACACACCCACCCACAUACAUACGCACACGCACACUAUCAUUGGUCUUUCUUUUCUCCUGCCUCACCUGUCUCGUUUUGCCUCCAAGCCAUCAUGCCAACGAAGCUCCAGCAAUAUACUCAUUCAUAUCCCUGUCAGCCUACAUACCUCGCCGGCCUUUUUGUCAGUACUAAUGCUUUCAAAGACAAGUAGCACUGUUGGUCUUACUACAACUUUCCUUUACAGUUGUAGACACCUUUCUAUCGCAAAUCCCUCCUACCACUCUUCUCUACCAAAUUCACCUUGCCUGUACUCUCUUCUUCACCCCUGUGCCACACUUUCUAGCACUUUGUUUUUAUUGCUUAUUGAUUAGCGAACUUAAACUGAUCAAACUAAUUUGCCCUCAACUCGCCUAAGACUCUGUCUUGCUCAUAUUAGUUUUCAUUCAAUUUCUCUCCAGCCAUCCGUCCACCUCCCCAGAUUCUCCUAAAUGUGUUAAUUAUUCUCAUUACAGGUCACUAUAUGUAGAUUGUAUUAAAUAACCUGGUUAAAAACUCCAUCUCUACUAACCACCUUUAUGUCUGCACUGCCUUGUCAGCCUGUCUGGACCAACUGUCUCUUCUUCCUUCUCCUCGCUUCCUUCUUGUUAAUUCAUCUCUAUUCGUGAUUCAUCAUCUCUACAUCAUCCAUCCAUCUAUCCAUCCCCCCUUCCUCUCUCUUUUCCUUUCAGUUAACACUUUCUUCAAGUUUUCCAUCCACCUUUUCGACACACACUGCUCGUUUGUCUGCUUAUUUCUAUAUGCAUCUUUUCUCGACCUAACCUGAUGUACCUCCUUCAAUCUAUAUGCCAGGCCAAUCAGUACAAAUACAUUUCUUCCUUAGCGUCCAACUUCUCAUACAGCUUGUUACCCGCCUUUUCCUCAACCUUCGCCAUCUCUCUCUUCGUCUUACGCUGCAUCUCCGUGCAUUCACGUCCAUUUUCUUAAUAUUUCUGACUAUCCCAGUUCUUGUUUUUUUGGCUAGCUUCCCCUUUCUUAUACUCUCUUGAACCACCACAUUUCUUACUAUGAACAAAACUGCUGUCUCCAUCACCUCUUCAUACUAUACUAUCUUCCCCUUUCAAUUCCCACUAACCUCUUUUUAGGUUCAACAUUUCACUCACUCCUUACCUCCGCUUUUUAUAUAAAUGUGUCUGUAUUGUUGUUGUGUGCAUACAUACAUACAUAUAUCUAUUUAGAGUAUUUAUUAGCCACCGUAUUUAUUUUACAAACUGUUCAAGCUUUCAAAAUGACUAUUUGUAAAUCUGUAGAUGCGUUAAAAUACAAGCUUCCACAUGGGAAUUCUACUGCAACGAUUUGAGUACAUUAACUAUUAGCUAACAUAACAUCAAAUCUUUUUCCAUUCAGCAAUUAAGGGAACUACGACAACGUUAACCAGUACGACCA